UAAAACAUCUCUCUCUCAUACACACACAGGUAGGAUGCAUUGCUGCAGCACUGGAAUGCGUUAUGGAAGAACUUAAAGGAACAGCCCAAGAGGAAUGUGAGGACCCCAACGCAAGAAUAGAGGAAACUGUCGAAUUCUUGGAAAUACAGAUCCAAAAACUAAACAUUACACAUGCAUCAACAAACCGCAGUGAAUGUGACUGUGAAACAUGGUCUGAAACCCCUCUCAGUGAGUUUCUGAAAGGAACGAAAUUCUUACUUGAGUCUUACAAUCUAAGAAAUGCAUAAUGCAGUCCAAAAAGACUGGGGCAACCUUUGUAUCGCAUCUUCUCCAUCAACUGUACUGAAAAACGCCACAGGAAGUCUUGAGCAGCGAUUAAAUGCUGCAAAAAAUUCUAUUUCAUCCGGCAUGAGAUGACACGACCAACCCAUUGAUUCUGAAGCAGACGUGUUUUAAGGAUUGUAUGUAAUCAAGCAACAUCUACACAUGUUGAUUGGAGUGAUCUCAGGUAUAUCUCUGUUUUUAGCGAUGCUAUACGAUUAAGAACACUGCUCUACAAUAUUUGCAUUUAUAACCAAGUCACUGCAAUAUGGUGAUAAGGCAACUACUCAUGUUGAAUGAUUUUAUUUCUUCUGUAUUUUAUUUUUACUACAUAUUAACAUAAUAUAUAAUACAUUAUAUUUCUACAAUUAUCUUAUGUAUUUCUACAACUGCUGUGAAGUGUAUUUAAAAGUUCUCAAUUUCAAACAAUGGGAAUGUAUUUGAUGUAAGCUCUUGUAUAGCUCUGAAUUUUUAUUUAUUUAUUUAUUUAUUGAUUAUUUAACAUGCUGUAUGGCGGUGCUAUAAAUUGAAGCUAUAACUUAAUAAAUGUUACCUUAAAGAGUUUGUGUAUUGCCAUUUAAAUUCUAAAUUAGUGUCCUCAGAAGAUUACAAAUAUAUGUCCAAAAAAACUGUUAGUUUAGCUCUUAUCUGGAGCCUUCAUCAAAUCAGAAUGCAUAUCUGCAUCAUGUUUGGAUUAGCCUACCAAUAAGAUAAGACAAUGCGAAUUUGGAAUUAGAGCUAGAUUGUCAUUUUUAACUUUAGCAGUAAAGAAAUUAAUGUGGAAAAGGAAUAGGCGUAUUACCUCUGUGGGAGGCUGAAUUUCCUCAAUGUUAAGGGCACAAGAAGUUUGACUAUGGAAAAUCAUGUCAUAGUGAAGUCACUGUCAAGUCAUUUUAGGAACAGAUUCUGUACAGUCCCACGGUUUUUAGCAAUUUGUGCCAGAGGGAACGUUCACCGUACUGUUUGCCUAUUAUGGCUGUUUUUUGUUUUGUUUUUUUGGUAUUGUACCAUAGUAGCAUGAUAGCCAAGACAUUGUUUAAACAUUAAACUUAAAGUUGUCAGGCCUA